rnacentral:rRNA from 1 species
UGGGGAAUAUUGCACAAUGGGGGAAACCCUGAUGCAGCGACGCCGCGUGAGCGAAGAAGGCUUUCGAGUCGUAAAGCUCUGUCCUAUGAGAAGAUAAUGACGGUAUCAUAGGAGGAAGCCCUGGCUAAAUACGUGCCAGCAGCCGCGGUAAUACGUAUGGGGCGAGCGUUGUCCGGAAUUAUUGGGCGUAAAGGGUACGUAGGCGGUCUAUUAAGUCAGGUGUGAAAGCGUGAGGCUUAACCUCAUUAAGCACUUGAAACUGAUAGACUUGAGUGAAGGGGAGGAAAGUGGAAUUCCUAGUGUAGCGGUGAAAUGCGUAGAUAUUAGGAGGAAUACCGGUGGCGAAGGCGACUUGCUGGACUUUUACUGACGCUCAGGUACGAAAGCGUGGGGAGCAAACAGG